CUCAAGGAUGGAUCUAUACCGACUUCAAACUUGGAACCUAUCAUCCGAGUGACCUGAAGAAACUCAUGUUUGAGGUGUUCCCGGACCCACCAGACUCACCUGCUGGACUCUGGGUCCGGAGUCUGUCAUGCUUCAGUCAAGCAAAGGCCUGAAGACAAACCAGCGGUCAGCAGCAUCAGGAAAAUCUAAGCAUCCCCAGGAAGAUGCGUCAUGAUGACCACUGUGACCCAGAUGGGACAUGAUCUGGACAGUUUUUGUAUAAAUGUUAUGGCUUUGCUACUUCGUGCAUUAUAAAUACCCAAUUUAAGUUUCUAUUUCAUCGGCCAUGAAUAAAGUGCUUUAUGUUAUAGCAGAAAA